rnacentral:rRNA from 1 species
GAGUNCAGAAGGGGAGAGUGGAAUUCCAUGUGUAGCGGUGAAAUGCGUAGAUAUAUGGAGGANCACCGGUGGCGAAAGCGGCUCUCUGGUCUGUCACUGACGCUGAGGCUCGAAAGCGUGGGUAGCGAACAGGAUUAGAUACCCUGGUAGUCCACGCCGUAAACGCUGAGUGCUAGGUGUUAGGUCCUUUCCGGGACUUAGUGCCGACGCUAACGCAUUAAGCACUCCGCCUGGGGAGUACGACCGCAAGGUUGAAACUCAAAGGAAUUGACGGGGGCCCGCACAAGCGGUGGAGCAUGUGGUUUAAUUCGAAGCAACGCGAAGAACCUUACCAGGUCUUGACAUCCCGAUGCCCGCUCUAGAGAUAGAGUUUUUCUUCGGAACAUCGGAGACAGGUGGUGCAUGGUUGUCGUCAGCUCGUGUCGUGAGAUGUUGGGUUAAGUCCCGCAACGAGCGCAACCCUUAUUGUUAGUUGCCAUCAUUAAGUUGGGCACUCUAGCGAGACUGCCGGUAAUAAACCGGAGGAAGGUGGGGAUGACGUCAAAUCAUCAUGCCCCUUAUGACCUGGGCUACACACGUGCUACAAUGGUUGGUACAACGAGUCGCAAGCCGGUGACGGCAAGCUAAUCUCUGAAAGCCAAUCUCAGUUCGGAUUGUAGGCUGC